AUGUUUUCCAACACUGCUAUACUUCAGCGAUCUGACAGGCCAUGCCAAUCAUUAGUCAUACAUUAUAAAACAAACGCAGCCAUCUCACUUUGCUUCUCAUUUGCAAUUUAUUGGGUUACACAACCCUCCGUGGGUGCUGGGAAAAAACAACAGACAAUGCUGCUUCACAUCCCCAGCAAGCUCUCGCUUUCUGACAGGCAUUCCUUACAGCUCCUCAAAGGGAGCGCUGCCGGGGCCUCCUUUACACAAUUUUACGCUGUUUCCUCACUGAAACCGGAGCAAAAGCAGCCACUUGGUCCCCAGAGACGGAAGAAACCGCUCCGCGCCCUCCCUGAAGCUCUGUCUCCAGGGGCUCGGCGCCGCGGCCGGGCCCGGGCCUCGCCAGGGCUGGGGGGCGAGGGAAGGGCAAGCGCCCGGGGAAGCAGGCGGGGAUGGAAACGGCAGGAGCCGCAGGGAGCGGCCGGGAGGGAAGGAGAGCGCAGCCCGCGGGCGGGAGGAGAGGGGGGGGGGGGUCGCCUCAGGCGGCGAGCGGGGCCCGGCGGCGUGUUACCUCAGCGGCCGAGUGUUCCCGCAGGCGGUGCCGCGCCGCCAGGUAGAGGCCGGCGCCGCCGCCCAACGCGAAGGCAGCGCCCAGCAGCAGGCGGCCCCCGCCGCCUCCUGCUGCUGUCGCUGCUGCCGCGGCAGCGCCAUAGUCUCGGCGCGGGGCCCGCAGCCGCCAGGGCGGCAGCAGCGCGGCGGCCCGCCAGGCCCUGCCGGCAACCGCCAUCUUCCCGGCACGGCGCGGCGCGGGCGGGCGCCCAGGGGCGGGGCUUAAAGGGACCGCCCCACCCCUCUGCGCGUCCCCCGCCCCCGAAAUGGUGGCACCGGCCCAGCGCUGAGGUAAAAGAAGCCGCAGCGACGUUAAAGUCCACAGCGAGCGGGAGCGGCGAGGCCGUCUGGCUGCGGAGGGCCACGGCGAGCGUGGCCCCGCUCUCUCGUAGUAAUGAGAAAAUCUGGGUUCGCUGA
rnacentral:lncRNA from 1 species